rnacentral:ribozyme from 1 species
CCUGAUUUUUGAGGACAACUUAAUCUUCGUGACUACGCAGGAUGAGGGCGAGGCUGGCUCUGACGCGGAGCUCCGCCGGCAGUUGGAGUGGGCCUCG